GGAUGCGUUUGAGCCAAGGCUUUCGAGGAGCGCUCCGUCUCUUUGGAGACCGAGGGCAUGUCGACCAUGUUGACGAGCUUCUUGGGGAAAUUCCCCGGACGCAAAGACAGAGAUGUCUAUCCGGAAACGGAUGCCGGCUUGGGAUGCCGCUCGGGCGACGACGACACUCUGUUGUGUAAGAGCCAUGGUGGGUCGUGCUCCCUUGUCGCCGUCGUAGCAAAGUAAUGCCGCAGUCGAACCCAACGGGGAUUACUCCAAACGCAUA